CGAACGCUGGCGGCGUGCUUAACACAUGCAAGUCGAACGAAAAGAGGGGAAGAGCUUGCUCUUUUCAGAAUUGAGUGGCAAACAGGUGAGUAACACGUAAACAACCUGCCUUCAGGAUGGGGACAACAGACGGAAACGACUGCUAAUACCGAAUAAGUUCCAAGAGCCGCAUGGCCCAUGGAAGAAAAGGUGGCCUCUACCUGUAAGCUAUCGCCUGAAGAGGGGUUUGCGUCUGAUUAGCUGGUUGGAGGGGUAACGGCCCACCAAGGCGACGAUCAGUAGCCGGUCUGAGAGGAUGAACGGCCACACUGGAACUGAGACACGGUCCAGACUCCUACGGGAGGCAGCAGUGGGGAAUCUUCCGCAAUGGGCGAAAGCCUGACGGAGCAACGCCGCGUGAGUGAUGACGGCCUUCGGGUUGUAAAACUCUGUGAUCCGGGACGAAAAGGCAGAGUGCGAAGAACAAACUGCAUUGACGGUACCGGAAAAGCAAGCCACGGCUAACUACGUG
rnacentral:rRNA from 1 species